rnacentral:rRNA from 1 species
GACGAACGCUGGCGGCGUGCCUAAUACAUGCAAGUCGAGCGGAUCUUCAUUAUCUUGCUUUUGAAGAUCAGCGGCGGACGGGUGAGUAACACGUGGGCAACCUGCCUGUAAGACUGGGAUAACUUCGGGAAACCGGAGCUAAUACCGGAUAAUCCUUUCCCUCACAUGAGGGGAAGCUGAAAGACGGUUUCGGCUGUCACUUACAGAUGGGCCCGCGGCGCAUUAGCUAGUUGGUGAGGUAACGGCUCACCAAGGCGACGAUGCGUAGCCGACCUGAGAGGGUGAUCGGCCACACUGGGACUGAGACACGGCCCAGACUCCUACGGGAGGCAGCAGUAGGGAAUCUUCCGCAAUGGACGAAAGUCUGACGGAGCAACGCCGCGUGAGCGAUGAAGGCCUUCGGGUCGUAAAGCUCUGUUGUCAGGGAAGAACAAGUACCGGUGUAACUGCCGGUACCUUGACGGUACCUGACCAGAAAGCCACGGCUAACUACGUGCCAGCCGCCGCGGUAACAC